GGGUCGCUAGCUCAAUUGGCAGAGCACUCGACUCUUAAUCGAGCUUGUCGGGGUUCGAGUCCCCGGCGACCCA
rnacentral:tRNA from 1 species